rnacentral:tRNA from 1 species
GGGCCGUUAGCUCAGUUGGUAGAGCAGCUGACUCUUAAUCAGCAUGUCCUAGGUUCGAUCCCUAGACGGCCCACCA